GAUGAACGCUAGCUACAGGCUUAACACAUGCAAGUCGAGGGGUAACGAGAGGAAAGCUUGCUUUCCUUGUCGACGACCGGCGCACGGGUGAGUAGCGCGUAUCCAACCUGCCCCCAACUAAGGAAUAACCUUGCGAAAGUAAGACUAAUACCUUAUAAUUUCCUCAGAUGACAUCUGACGAGGAAUAAAGAUUUAUCGGUUGUGGAUGGGGAUGCGUCUGAUUAGCUUGUUGGCGGGGUAACGGCCCACCAAGGCAACGAUCAGUAGGGGUUCUGAGAGGAAGGUCCCCCACAUUGGAACUGAGACACGGUCCAAACUCCUACGGGAGGCAGCAGUGAGGAAUAUUGGUCAAUGGGCGGAAGCCUGAACCAGCCAAGUAGCGUGCGGGAUGACGGCCCUAUGGGUUGUAAACUGCUUUUAUACAGGAAUAAAGUUAGCCACGUGUGGUUAUUUGUAGGUACUGUAUGAAUAAGGACCGGCUAAUUCCGUGCCAGCAGCCGCGGUAAAAC
rnacentral:rRNA from 1 species